rnacentral:lncRNA from 10 species
AGUGUUUAAUGGCAGGUUGAGUGGUGUAAACUGGCAGAAAAUGAGCUGUGAUAUUUCUACUUUAAGAUGAGAAUGAGAAACAACUUAUCUUGAUAAAAGCGUAGAAAUUGGUUUCUUCAGGAAGCCUUCCCUGCUUCUCUAGUUUGAGUUUCUUCAACUGUUUCAAAUGCUGGAGCAUAGCACACAUGAAGCAAUCCACCGAGGAAGCUCUGCUCAUCCAUUUUUCUCUUGGCUGUCCUUGCACUUUGGUCUCACUCUAUCAGCAAGACUGGAGUGCAGUGGCACGAUUUCAACUCACUGCAACCUCUGCCUCCUGGGUUCAAGUGAUUCUUGUGCCUCAGCCUCCCAAGAUUUAACAUUUCUUUGGAUAUUUUGUGUGUGAAACAGUGUAAAUAUUAUUUAAAUGUAGACUAUGAUUAAUUAAAUAUGUAUAUUGUAAGCCUUAAGUCAACCACGAAAUUUUCUUAAAAAUAAUGAAGUCAAUAUAGGUAAUAAAAGGGUCUCAUAAGUAUUGCCCAAUUAAUCUAAAAGAGAAACAGAAAAAAGAGAAGAGAACAAUAUUUUUAAAAGAACACAUGGAAGAAAUAGAAAACAACUGUCACAAUGGUAAAUUUUGACCAACCACCAGUAAUAUUAAAUGUGAAUGGCCUAAGUUCACCAAUUAAAAGAUGGAGAUUGUUAGAUUGAAUUAAAAUUAAAACAAAUUAAACUAUGUGCUAUCUACAAGAAACCUUUUUCAAAUAUGAAGUUAAGGAAAGGAUGCAAGCGAAAAGGAAGGCAAAAGAUAUUGUAUGUGUUAUACCUGAAUUGUGUCUCUCAAAAUUAUGUAUGUUGAGACCCUAAUUCCCAAUAUGACUGUAUUUGGAGAUAGGGCUAUUAAGAGGUAAAUAAGAUCAAGUGAGGCCAUAAGGAUAGGGUCCUAAUCCUGUGGGAUUGGUGGACUUACAGGAAGAGAGAUCUCUUUCUCCUUUUCCAUGCACAUGCGCACGGAAAGGCCAUGCGAGCACACGGCUUGAAAAUGGUCAUCUGUAAGCCAGGAAGAGGGCUCUCAUCAGAACUCAAACUUGCCAACAUAUCAGAUUUCUAGCCUCCAGAACUAUGAGAAAAUAAAUUUCUGUGCUUUAGACAUCCAGUCUAUGAUAUUUUGUUGUGGCAGUCUGGGCAGACUAAGUCACUAUACAAACCUUAACUAAAAGAAAACUUAAGUAGCUAUAUUAAUAUCAGAUAAACUUAAGAACAAAGAAUAUUAUCAGAGAUAGAUAGGGUAAUUAUGUAAUGAAAAAGCAGUCAAUUUUCCAAGAUGUGACAAUUUUAAGCAUUUUGCACCAAAAAACAGAGUUUCAAAAUACAUUUAUAAAAAAGAACUGAAAUCCCAGCACUAUGGGAGGCCAAGGCGGGUGGAUCACCUGAGGUCAGGGUUUGAGACCAGCCAGGCCAACAUGGUGAAACCUCGUCUCUACUAAAAAUACAAAAAUUAGCUGGGUGUGGUGGUGCACACCUGUAGUUCCAGUUAUUCUGGAGGCCGAGGCAGGACAAUUGUUUGAACCCGGGAGGCGGAGAUUGCAGUGAGCCAAGAUUGCACCAUUGCACUCCAGCCUGGGCGACAGAGCGAGGCUCCAUCUCAAAAAAAAAAAAAAAAAAAAAGAACUGAAAAAAACGGAAAAAUGCACAAUUCUAGUUGAAGACUUUGAUACUUUAAUCUCAGUAUUGAUGGAUAGAACAAAGUGUACAGAAAAUUGCUAAGCAUGUAGAAGACUUAAUACUAUCAACGAACUGAACUAAUAACAUUUAUAGAUCACUAUACCCAACAAAAAAUAUAUAUAUAAUAUUCUUUAACACAGAGAACUUUUGCCAAGAUACAUCAUAUUCUGAAUCAUAAAAAACCCUAAAAUUUAAAGGAAUGAAAAGUAUACAAAGUAUGUUCACAGCUAAUAACCAAAUUAAAUUAGAAAUGAUGAACGGAAAUACCUAAACAAUCACCAAUAUUUGGAGUUUAAGUAACGUACUUCUAACUAACACAUGGGUCAAGAGGAAGCCUCGAGGGAAAAAAAUAUAUAUAAUAUAUAUAUAUUUAAUAUAUAUAAAAAUAUAUAUUAAACAUAUAUAUAUAGAGAGAGAGAGAGAACUAAAUAAAACGAAAAUGCAAUAUAUCAAAAUUUUGGGGAUGCAGUUAAAAGUAGAUGAAGAGUUGAGAUCAGUAUGCUUCUGCCUUAAAAACUGCCUUGCUUAGUUUCCAAAUGUCUGGGGAUUUUUUGAUUACCUUUUUUGUUGUUGUUGUUUCCUAGUAGAAUUCCUUUGGGGUUAGAAAACAUUUUCUGUGUAACUUCAAUAUAAUAUUUUUUGAGAUCUGCAUUAUGACUCAGCAUGUAUUCAAUCAUUUUGUACAUCCUGUAUGCAUUUGAAAGGAACACAUACUUUUCAGUAUUGCAUUGUCUGUCAACUAGGUCAGAUAUGUGAAUUACGUUAUUUAAGUAUUCUAUAUACCUAAUGAUUUGAUGCCUGCUUGUGCUACCAUUUAAUGUGUUUUAUUAAAUGUUUAUGAUUGUAUAUUUCUUUAUGAUUAUAUAUUGCUUUAUUUCUCCUUUGGCACUUCAUUUUUGGGCAAUCUACUUAAUGUAUGCAUUUAGCUCUCAUAAGCUCAAAAUUAGACUUUUAUUUUCAAGUAGUCAUUCACAGUUUUUCCUAUUAGUCCCUAAAGUCUAGGCUGCCUUCAUAGUUUUAAGUUAUUGGCAUUUCUCUAUAAUUUGUUUCAAGGGGAAAAGCAGCAACUUAAGCUAGUUCUCUAUUUGUCAGGAACCAGAAGCCAAGAAGGUUUGUUUUUAGACGUCUCCUAAUAACUCAUUAUCAAUUAGUUAUAUUUACAAAUAUAUAUAACACACACACACACAUAUAUAUAUACACACAUAUAUGUAUAUGUGUAUAGAUAUGUCUGUAUAUAUAGAAGCAUUGACAUUGAUUUUUACCUAUAUAACAUACUGUCCUGGCUUACUAUUUUGGCGCAAAAUGGUGUGACUUUUUAACCCAUGUAUAGUAUCCUGCUGAAAGUUUUUAUAGGAAAAUGAUCAAAAUGUAGGACUGAGUUACAAAGGCUAUUGCUUGACUUUGUGAUUGGCCUGAUGCCUUUCCAUAAGUAGACAUUUCCUUGAAUUGCAAGCAAUAAUUGGACACUAGAGAGCUAUUAUUUGUGAGGCCUCUAAGUAAAUUUUGUUUUAAUGCAAAGCGAAAGUGGAGUGCUGGUAAAGGGUAUCUGGAAAUAUGGCUCAACAUAUCCGGAUGUAGUGGUUUUGUAUGGAAAACACAUUUCCUUUGCACUAGGGCAUAGCAUUUAAAAAGUUGGCUAUAUGUAUAAUCCUUGAUACUUCUGGAUGAUAUCAUUAUCAGAGAUUUAAAAAAGUGCAUUAACAUCUCCAAAGCAGUGCACUGUGUUUCUUGCCUUUUCAUUUUUUAUGUUUCCAACAUUUUAUUGUAUAAGAUUCUAUUGCAAUUUUAAGUCCACAAUUAGGAGGCAUUAUUUAGGGAAUAUAUUACCAUUUGUUGAUUCUUUUGAAAUGUCUUUUUGAAACAUAAAAAAUUACUAACUAACUGACUUGGGAUUGAGAGUUUUAUCUGUUUUUCCUGCUUCUCCUCCCCUAUAACUAAAUAGUCUAUCAGGAUAAUAUCUAAAGGGUGAUAUUGAGGUCAGCUAACUGUAGUAUAUCUGUUUCUCGAUCCCAGAUGGUAAAUUUAGGGAUCUGAGGAAAAUAGUCUGAUAAGAGUUGAAAAAUUAAAGGUGAUAUAAGAGAAAGUUAGUGCAUUGAAUGUGUCUCAACAAGAAACUUUUUUUGGAGGUGUGAACUCAUGAUUUAUUUUGACUCUCAGAGGCUCUUUUUAAACAAAAUACUAGAUGAUCUAAUCAUUUAACAAGCAUAAUUUAGACAUGUAUAAUUAAAAAUAUCAACCUCCUCUUAAUAUCAAACUUGAUAAAAAAUGAAUUGAGUUAAAACAAUACUUUGUGUGAGUUUGUGUGUGUGUGUGUGUUUAACAAUUGAGUUGGGCACAUGUAGGGGUAAUUAAAGUAUAAAACUGUUAAUCCUCUGUCUCUCAACAUUAAGAGACAGCUCAAUAGUUGAUGGCCUCUUUGAUCAUGUGUUUGGUUAUGUUUAUUUUUUCCAGUUGUUGUUUCAUCCUCAUAUUGCAAAUGCCUCUUUUCUUUUGGGUACCAGAAGUUAUUUUAUCUCUGAGGGCAGAAUGUACAUUUUCAAACCAACUCUGAAUUUUCUUAGCAUCCCAUAGUUUAGUAUAGAUUUAUUUAUUUAUACCAAAAAGUAGUCUUGUUCUAAAACUGCUACUUAUUCUACUGAUUUUCCUUGGUGUCUGGCUUUUGGUCUACCACAAUCUGCUGGGAUUAAUUUCCUUGGGCUGCUAUAACAAAUUACCAUAAACUGGGUGGUUGACAAACAACAGAUCUUUAUUCUUACAGUUCUAGAUGGUGGGAAGUCCAAGAUCAAGGCACUAGCAGAUUCUGUGUUUGGUAAGGGCUCACUCUUCUGGUUCACAGAUGAUAUCUUAUCCCCGUGUCCUCAUAUGGUGGAAGGGGCAAAGAGGCUACAUCAGGCCUCUUUUAUAAACAUACUAAUCCCAUUUAUGUGGGCUCCAUCCUCAUGACCUAAUCACUACCCAGAUGCCACACCUCUUAACAUCAGUACGUUAAGGAUUAGGUUUCAAUAUACAAAUUACAAGGGAUCACAAGCAUUCAGACUAUAGCAGUUACCUUCCAUUGUGCUCUGCAUGUGUUAUCAAGGCAAUAGUUUCCUUUUCAGAAGGUUACUUCUGGAAUCGAUCUCAUAUUUUCAGGCCCUGUUUGUAACUCUGCCUCUGUGUUGUUGUUGUUGUUGUUUUAAUUUAAUUUAGUUUUAAGUUCUGGGAUACAUGUUCAGGACCUGUAGGUUUGAUCCCCAAUGAACUUUGCUUUUAAAUCAAUGAUUAUACUGUAAGAUAUGGUUUUGCUGAUAAUUCAACUAGACUGACUAUAACUCUCACUGGUAAUAGUUGGUUCAACUAGCCUUAUACCUGACAAUAUGCUAAUGCUGAUAAUUACAUUUCUUGUUGUUUCUACUUACAAGUCUGUUUUGAUCCGACAGCUUAUUCCAAAAGAUUGUGAAAGCAUUAUAAUUUAUCUGUGUGUGUAUAUUUAUUUCUUGAAAAUACAUCAUUAAACAUUUUAGCACAAAAAAUAACUGGCACUUUCUUAUGUGCUUUAUAUGGUUUAGGUUGAUACAAAAGUAAUUGUGUUUUUUUUUUUCAUUAAAAGUAAUGGCAAAAAACCGAAAUUACUUUUGCACUAACCUAAUACUUUUAAAACCUUACUCUAUUGUAUUUUGAGUCUGAUAAGAAUUAAAAUUCCUGUCCUAUAUUUCUUUAAGCCUAUCUGUGGUUGGAAGAAACCAUCUGGGCAGCAAUAAUUCUUUAUUUUUUCUUAUCUUCUUCCCUCUCCUACUUGUUCUGUUUUCCAUGAUAUUCAUGUUAAAUGCAUAACGCUGAGGGGUUUCUUUUCUUUUCUUUAAUUAUACUUUAAGUUCUAGGGUACAUGAGCACAACGUACAGCUUUGUGACGUAGGUGUACAUGUGCCAUGUUGGCUUGCUGCACCCAUUAACUCGUCAUUUACAUUAGGUAUUUCUCCUAAUGCUGUCCCUCCCCUAGCCCUCCACUCCAUGACAGGCCGUGGUGUGUGAUAUUCCCCACCCUGUGUCCAUGUGUUCUCAUUGUUCAGUUCCCACCUAUGACUGAGAACAUGUGGUGUUUGGUUUUCUGUCCUUGUGACAGUUUGCUGAGAAUGGUGGUUUCCAGAUUCAUCCAUGUCUCUGCAAAGGACAAGAAUUCAUCCUUUUUUUAUGGCUGCAUAGUAUUCCAUGGUGUAUAUGUGCCACAUUUUCUUAAUCCAGUCUAUCACUGAUGGACAUUUGGGUUGGUUCCAUGUCUUUGCUGUUGUGAAUAGUGACACAAUAAAUAUAUGUGUGCAUGUGUCUUUAUAGUAGCAUGAUUUAUAAUUCUUUGGGUAUAUACCCAGUAAUGGGAUCGCUGGGUCAAAUGGUAUUUCUAAUUCUAGAUCCUUGAGGAAUCGCCACACUGUCUUCCACAAUGGUUGAACUAAUUUACACUCACACCAACAGUGUAAAAGUGUUCCUAUUCCACCACAUCCUCUCCAACAUCUGUUGUUUCCUGACUUUUUAAUGAUUGCAAUUCUAACUGGCAUGAGAUGGUAUCUCAUUGUGGUUUUGAUAUGCAUUUCUCUGAAGACCAGUGAUGAUGAGCAUUUUUCCAUGUUUCUGUUGGCUGCAUAAAUGUCUUCUUUUGAGAAGUGUCUGUUCACAUCCUUUGCCUACUUUUUGAUGGGGUUGUUUGUUUUUUUCUUGUAAAUUUGUUUAAGUUCUUUGUAGAUUCUGGAUAUUAGCCCUUUGUCAGUUGGGUAGAUUGCAAAAAUUUUAUCCCAUCCUGUAGGUUGCUUGUUCACUCUGAUGAUAGUUUCUUUUGCUGUGCAGAAGCUCUUUAGUUUAAUUAGAUCCCAUUUGUCUAUUUUGGCUUUUGUUGCCAUUGCUUUUGGUUUUUUAGUCAUGAAGUCUUUGCCCAUGUCUAUGUUUUGAAUGGUAUUACCUAGGUUUUCUUCUAGGGUUUUUAUGAUUUUAGGUCUUAAAUUUCAGUCUUUAAUCCAUCUUGAGUUAAUUUUUAUGUAAAGUGUAAGGAAGGGAUCCAGUUUCAGCUUUCUACAUAUGGCUAGCCAGUUUUCCCAGCACUAUUUAUUAAAUAGGGAAUCCUUUCCCCAUUUCUUGUUUUUGUCAGGUUUGUCAAAGAUCAGAUGGUUGUAGAUGUGUGGUGUUAUUUCUGAGGGCUCUGUUCUGUUCCAUUGAUCUAUAUCUCUGUUUUGGUACCAGUACCAUGCUGUUUUGGUUAUUGUAGCCUUGUAGUAUAGCUUAAAGUCAGGUAGCAUGAUGCCUCCAGCUUUGUUCUUUUGGCUUAGGAUUGUCUUGGCUAUGUGGGCUCCUUUUUGGUUCCAUGUGAAAUUUAGAGUAUUUUUUUCCAAUUCUGUGAAGAAAGUCAUUGGCAGCUUGAUGGGGAUGGCACUGAAUCUAUAAAUUACCUUGGGCAAUAUGGCCACAUUCACGAUAUUGAUUCUUUCUAUCCAUGAGCAUGGAAUGUUCUUCCAUUUGUUUGUGUCCUCUUUUAUUUCGUUGAGCAAUUUUGUAGUUCUCCUUGAAGAGGUCUUUCACAUCCCUUGUAAGUUGGAUUCCUAGGUAUUUUAUUCUCUUUGUAGCAAUUGUGAAUGGGAGUUCCGUCAUGAUUUGGCUCUCUGUCUGUUAUUGGUGUAUAGGAAUGCUUAUGAUUUUUGCACAUUGAUUUUGUAUCCUGAGACUUUGCUGAAGUUGCUUAUCAGCUUAAGGAGAUUUUGGGCUGAGACGAUGGGGUUUUCUAAAUAUACAAUCAUGUCAUCUGCAAACAGGGACAAUUUGACUUCCUCUUUUCCUAGUUGAAUACCCUUUAUUUCUUUCUCUUGCUUAAUUGUCCAACACUAUGUUGAACAGGAGUGGUGAGAGAGGGCAUCCUUGUCUUGUGCCGGUUUUCAAAGGGAAUGCUUCCAGUUUUUGCCCAUUCAGUAUGAUAUUGGCUGUGAGUUUGUCAUAAAUAGCUCUUAUUAUUUUGAUAUAUUUUCUAUCAAUACCUAGUUUAUUGAGAGUUUUUAGCAUGAAGCGCUGUUGAAUUUUGUCAAAGGCCUUUUCUAUAUCUAUUGAGAUAAUCAUGUGGUUUUUGUCGUUGAUUCUGUUUAAGUGUUGGAUUAUGUUUAUUAAUUUGCAUAUAUUGAAGCAGCCUCGCAUCCCAGGGAUGAAGCCAACUUGAUCGUGGUGGAUAAGCUUUUUGAUUUGCUGCUGGAUUCAGUUUGCCAGUAUUUUAUUGAGGAUUUUUGCAUCGAUGUUCAUCAGGGAUAUUGGUCUAAAAUUCUCUUUUUUUUGUUGUGUCUGUGCCAGGCUUUGGUAUCAGGACGAUGCUGGCCUCAUAAAGUUAGUUAUGGAGGAUUCCCUCUUUUUCUAUUGAAUGGAAUAGUUUCAGAAGGAAUGGUACCAGCUCCUCUUUGUACCUCUGGUAGAAUUUGGCUAUGAAUCCGUCUUGUCCUGGACUUUUUUUUGGUUGGUAGGCUAUUAAUUAUUGCCUCAAUUUCAGAACCUGUUAUUGGUCUAUCCAGAGAUUCAACUUCUUCCUGGUUUAGUAUUGGGAGGUUGUAUGUGUCGAGGAAUUUAUCCAUUUCUUCUAGAUUUUCUAGUUUAUUUGAGUAGAGGUGUUCAUAGUACUCUCAGAUGGUAGUUUGUAUUUCUAUGGGAAUCGGUGGUGAUAUCUCCUUUAUCAUUUUUUAUUGCAUGUAUUUGAUUCUUCUCUCUUUUCUUCUUUAGUAGCCUUGCUAGUGGUCUAUCAAUUUUGUUGAUCUUUCCAAAAUAGCAGCUCCUGGAUUCAUUGAUUUUUUUGAAAGGUUUUUGUGCCUCUUUCUCCUUCAGUUCUGCUCUGAUCUUAGUUAUUUCUUGCCUUCUGCUAGCUUUUGAAUUUGUUUGUUCUUGCUUCUCUAGUUCUUUUAAUUGUGAUGUUAGGGUGUCAAUUUUAGAUCUUUCUUGCUUUGUCUUGUGGGGACAUCAACAGAACUCUCCAACCCAAAUCAACAGAAUAUACAUUCUUCUCAGCACCACAUUGCACUUAUUCUAAAAUUGACCACGUAAUUUGAAGUAAAACACUCCUCAGCAAAUGUGAAAGAACAGAAAUCACAACAAACUGUCUCUCAGACCACAGGGCCAUCAAAUUAGAACUCAGGAUUAAGAAACUCAAAACCAUACAACUACAUGGAAACUGAACAACCUGCUCCUGAAUGACCACUGGAUAAAUAAUGAAAUUAAGGCAGAAAUAAAAAUAUUCUUUGAAACCAGUGAGAACAAAGACGCAACGUACCAGAAUCUCUGGGACACAUUUAAAGCAGUGUGUAGAGGGAAAUUUAUAGCACUAAAUGCUGAGGGGUUUCUUUAAGUUCAAUUUUUAUAAAACACUAAUUUGUUCUUCUGCAAAUUUAAGCACCAGCAGCAAAACCCAAUAGUAAAUCCAUUUGUAAUGUUGCUAUUUCAAUAUGGGUCUUUUGAAAGACAGGACGUAAUCAUUGUUCGUGCCUGCUUUGGGAAAUUAGUAGAAAUUUUUAUUUUAUUCAUUGGCAUUCACCUACAAGAUAUAUGUUUUCCAUUGUUCAUCUGGAGGCCUUUUGUUUCAAUCUAGACUCUCUCUAAAGGCAUGAGAAAUUAUAUACUUAAUAAAUGUGCCAAUAUACUUAUUUCAGGUCAUGAAACACAAUAUUUUUGUAUAAGCUUGCUCACCGGAAAAACCUGACAGAAGUCUAUGCAGUUGCUGCUGUGCUAGAAAUUAAAAGAAGGAUCCAAUAAAGUUGUGAUCAAUUGCUCAAUAAUCAGGUCCAUGGUAUGCGUAAAUGUGGCUCUCUGAAGAUUAGUGUAAAGCCCUCUGUUCCUUUCAUACAUGCUGGAGGUGAGAGAAGAGUUGUUACUUUUGGUUGUAACUUUUCUUAUAGUCUUUAUUAGCAGGCUUGGAGAGAGAGCACAGAGUCAUUUUAUUAUAUUAUUCUUUGAAUAUAAAUGUGACAGUUCCACCUUUCCUCAUGUAUUUUAUCCACAGUCUCAUCUGUGAAUGCUCCAUUUGCACUGCAGCUCAGGUAACCUGAAAAUCAGCCUAUCAUAGUUUUAUACACAAAGGACACACUACUCUCUUGGCUAAAGCACUGAAGGACAUCCUGUUUCUAGGGGUGUACAGGAACAGAACCUGGGCUUUCCUGACCAGCCCCUCCCUGUCGCUGGAUGUCAUUUUCUCAGCAUAUUCUACACUUAUUCUUUAGAACUACAAGCAAAACAAAUGGAAAGAACUGGUUCAGUCCAAGGCCACCGAGAGAACUGUCUUGCACCAUGGAGACUGUGGUAGAUAUUAUCAACCUUCAGUGACAGGAGGUAAAAGAACUUUGUAAAACAAAAACAGAGAUGCAGAAAAGCAAACUUAAGAAUCUAGAAGCAUUAUAAAUCUCUGUGUGAUGUCCAGACAGAGUUCAUUGCUGUUAAAAUCUCACUUCAUCACUCACUGGGAAAUAGCUACAAUUUCCUGAAGCAUAGCUACUACUACAGCAGAAUAGUAUAAUUAGUCAUCAAAAUUGAGUAAUUGAAUAGUUAUAAUAUUCAAAGUUUUCUCAAAAACAUUAACCCAAUUAUCUUUCCAACACUGGAAAAUUUUUAAUAUUCAGGGAAACAACAAAAGAGUUGUACAUUUUUAGUUUUGGAAUAGCUCAUGAGACAUGAGUUAUCCAUUGCAGUAAAUACCUAAUUGCAAUAGUAUAAAAACUAGUUUUAUUUGCUUUGAAUUUUUCAUUUUCUCUUUAAAAUGUUAAAUAUAAUAUUCAAUUUAAUUCAAGUUAAGCGAAGCCCAUCAAGUAACUGCACACUGUCUUUGUAAAGAAUGAACAAACUUUUUAGUUUCCUGAUGUAUAUAUGGUCAGAUACCCUAUGAAAUAGAAUCUACAUCUUAUUAUCAAUAAUUACAUGCCACAAUUAGGGUACUUUGUGAGAUCUUUUAUUGAAAGGCUGUUAGGGUUUUUGCCUCUAAUUCAAUAUGUUUUAUUAAAAUAAGUAGAUGUAUGAAUAUCUGAGUUAUUAAUAUACUGGAAAAGAUUCUGGGGCUGAAGACCUAGGCCCUGUGCCAUUGAGCUGAAGAGAUGUUGCUACUUACAGAAUUGGGACUAGCUCAGCACUGUUGUUAAUACAAUGCCAGAUUUAUACAAUUGUCCCCAUGAUUCAAAGAAUUCAGUCUCCUUGCCCAGACUUAAAGGAAAAUAACUUAAUAUAAAGCUGUGAAAGAGUAAUGCAAUGCACAUAAAGACAUUUUACAAGACUCUAGCCAGAUCUAGCCCCAAAAGAUUUGGUAAAAUUUAAAGUAGCACGGAAGAAUUGAUUGGAGACCUGGCAAUAGUUAAAAUGGGAAAAUUCAGGGCUCUAUAUUAUUGCAGCUAAAGAGGAAAUUUCAAGAGAAAUUAAAGACGUUUGCAGCUUUUCCAAGGUCUUUGAGUAAUAUUGAUAAAAUAUCAUAACUUUUCCACUUCUGAAACUCAAUAAUUGAAUUCUGAAAUCUAAAUCUAAAGCUAUUUUUAGCUUUAUAACAUUUUGCUUUUCUAGAAGGAAGGCAUUAUCUUUUUUUCUCUAUCUAUUAACUUUUAAUAUUAUUAAUACCAAAGUACUAAAUUUUGAUUACUUAAUUGUUAUGUUUCUUCAAAAAAAGGAUUCUGAUUUUCUAAUGUUUUAUCGGAGGUAAAAGUUCAAUACACUAUUCAGAGUGGUAUUCUGACUUUCUGAUGCCUAAAAAGCACAGCAAGGAUAUAGCACCUCUCCCAUCCUACUGAUUAAUAGACUUUGAGUGGUGCCAGGAGGGAAAGAAGAAUGUAAGAAACUUUAGGAAAGGAGCAUCAACCUAACUGAAUUCCCCAUGUCUCUGAUAUACUUAAGUAAUUAGAGAAGGACAAGUUAACUGGUUAUAAAUAAAGUGCGUCCUUAGCUUCUCAAUAUAUAUCCCCUUAGCAUGGCAUGUAAGAUUCUGUCUUAUCUGACUUGAACCUAUAUUUGCAGCUUUGUCCUCUGGUACUCGACUUUUGUAAUCCUGAAUCCAGCAACACACAUCAUUUUCUGUUUUCUCAAUUUGUCUUGUAUUUUAUAUUUCAGUCUUUCCUGGAAUUAUAUUAUCUCUACAUUGAAUUCCUUUCUAUUAUUUCUCCACUUGGGAGCUUGGAGCUUCUUCCUUCAACACUCAUUUCAAGUAUCAGUGCCUAUGCAGCUUCCCUGUCUUCCUAGUCCAAAUUAGUAACUCCUAGCUCUGUGUACACCUGCUAUUCUUUUAAACUAUUCCAUUACGUUUCAUUUUAUAGUGUAUUUCUUCUUUUUUUUUAACUUGUCAACUAGAUAAUUACGUCAAAUGCUGUCUUUUUCAUCUUUGUGUCUUUCUUUCUGUAGUGCUCAGAAUAAGUACUGAUAAACAAUCCUGUUUAGGAAUAAUCUGUGUUAGGGGAAAGUGUAAUUUUUAAAAACUUGUUUGUAAAGAAGAUACUGCAUUACCAUUGCCAUGUUUAAGAUGCUGUUCCUCAAAUCCUUCUUCUGCUUUUACCAUAGAAGAAUUGAGAGACUUGCAAUUUACUGGGUUCAUUUUUUUUUAUCUAUAACUCUAGUUAAUGCAUAGUUUUUCUUUGUCAAUAUUUAGUGAACUGGAUGUCUUUGAAACUUUAAUUCUUUACAGUUAUGUCUUUAUAAUAAUAGUGGAAUUUAGAACAGUUAUAUUAAAGAGAAAAUUGUCUCAUUAAGAAAUUAGGUCUUUUAUUUGGAUCUGAAUCUGUAUAACAAAUUCAGUUAAAAUAGUUAAAAUUUAAAUGAGAUCCACACCUGAAAUUCUCCCUGAAGUAUAGAAUUUUGCCAUAAGCCACUUCAAAUUUUAUUUAAUAACUUCUGUUUAACAGUGGUUUGUUUGCCAUCCUUCAAAUAAUAACCUAAUGUUUAAAUCAAAUCAAAUAUUAACAAACGUACACCUUCAGUUAUUUCAUUGACUCUUUUUCUGAAUUUUCUUUUUUAUUAUUAUUAUUAUACUUUAAGUUUUAGGGUACAUGUGCACAUUGUGCAGGUUAGUUACAUAUGUAUACAUGUGCCAUGCUGGUGCACUGCACCCACUAACUCGUCAUCUAGCAUUAGGUAUAUCUCCUAAUGCUAUCCCUCCCCGCUCCCCCCACCCCACAACAGUCCCCAGAGUGUGAUAUUCCCCU